CCUACGGGUGACAGCAGUGAGGAAUAUUGGUCAAUGGGCGAGAGCCUGAACCAGCCAAGUCGCGUGAAGGAUGACGGCUCUACGGGUUGUAAACUUCUUUUGUCAGGGAGCAAUUGGGUCCACGCGUGGGCUUAGCGAGAGUACCUGAAGAAAAAGCAUCGGCUAACCACGUGCCAGCAGCCGCGGUAAGACGGAGUAUGCGAGCGGUAUCCGGUUUUAUUGGGUUAAAAGGGUGCGUAGGCGGAAUAUCAAGUCAGCGGUAAAAAUUCGGGGCUCAACCCCGUCGUGCAGUUGAAACUGAUGUUCUUGAGUGCGCGAGAAGUAUGCGGAAUGCGUGGUGUAGCGGUGAAAUGCAUAGAUAUCACGCAGAACUCCGAUUGCGAAGGCAGCAUACCGGCGCCCAACUGACGCUGAAGCACGAAAGCGUGGGUAUCGAACAGGAUUAGAUACCCGUGUAGUC
rnacentral:rRNA from 1 species